rnacentral:lncRNA from 1 species
AGUUGUUGGAUCUCAGUGAUGACCAAUAUGGGAGAAAGAUGGAAUUACUUGCUAACUUUAGAAAAAGAUGAGCACGAAUGAUCAACUUUGACACAAGAGAUUAAAAUCAAUGUGCUUGAGAAACAACCACAACAGAAAUACCAGCUGCCUUUUGAAAACAAGGGCAUUGGGGAAUGAAUGGGAUUGCAUGUUUCUUCUGUUCUGUGUUCAAGAGCUUCGAUGGCUACUGUGUUACAUCAGCUCUGCCCCCUCUGAUUUCACGCUCACACAUUAACGAGAGCUGACACUGGAGAUUAGACGCAGACAGCUGGAAUGCCAGGGCUUUGUUGCGGCAUGGACUGCAGCCAACGUCGUUCAACCACAGCCAAGAGGGACCUGGGAAAGUCUUCUUAAGAAGGAGGGA